rnacentral:rRNA from 1 species
UACGUAGGGGGCAAGCGUUGUCCGGAAUCAUUGGGCGUAAAGAGCGCGUAGGCGGCCCUGUAAGUCCGCUGUAAAAGUCCAGGGCUCAACCCUGGAAAGCCGGUGGAUACUGUCGGGCUAGAGUCCGGAAGAGGCGAGUGGAAUUCCUGGUGUAGCGGUGGAAUGCGCAGAUAUCAGGAGGAACACCGAUGGCGAAGGCAGCUCGCUGGGACGGUACUGACGCUGAGGCGCGAAAGCGUGGGGAGCGAACAGG